rnacentral:rRNA from 2 species
AAGGGAGCUUGCUCCUGGAUUCAGCGGCGGACGGGUGAGUAAUGCCUAGGAAUCUGCCUGGUAGUGGGGGAUAACGUCCGGAAACGGGCGCUAAUACCGCAUACGUCCUGAGGGAGAAAGUGGGGGAUCUUCGGACCUCACGCUAUCAGAUGAGCCUAGGUCGGAUUAGCUAGUUGGUGGGGUAAAGGCCUACCAAGGCGACGAUCCGUAACUGGUCUGAGAGGAUGAUCAGUCACACUGGAACUGAGACACGGUCCAGACUCCUACGGGAGGCAGCAGUGGGGAAUAUUGGACAAUGGGCGAAAGCCUGAUCCAGCCAUGCCGCGUGUGUGAAGAAGGUCUUCGGAUUGUAAAGCACUUUAAGUUGGGAGGAAGGGCAGUAAGUUAAUACCUUGCUGUUUUGACGUUACCAACAGAAUAAGCACCGGCUAACUUCGUGCCAGCAGCCGCGGUAAUACGAAGGGUGCAAGCGUUAAUCGGAAUUACUGGGCGUAAAGCGCGCGUAGGUGGUUCAGCAAGUUGGAUGUGAAAUCCCCGGGCUCAACCUGGGAACUGCAUCCAAAACUACUGAGCUAGAGUACGGUAGAGGGUGGUGGAAUUUCCUGUGUAGCGGUGAAAUG